CAGUGCACUGGGAGGGGGAAAAGUCUCGAGGACUAACUUCAACUACCCCAGUAGUGGUCCUGCUCUCAGGUGUGAUUUUUACAUUUAAGAACUCGAGUGUGACCCCUUCACUAAGGGCACCUGAAACUGGAUGCAGAGGGGAGGGGUGGG